rnacentral:tRNA from 1 species
UCCCUGGUGGUCCAGUGGUUAAGACUUUGCACUCCCAAUGCAGGGGACACAGGUUCAAGCCCUGAUUGGGGAA